CCCACAGACAAUGAUGAACAAGCUGGAGUUGAAGAGGCCAAAGAAGCAGGAGAACUUAAGACUUCCAGGAAUUCUCAGAAAUAUUUGGACGAGCUUUGGACUGUCUCGUCUCCUCAAAUCUCAAGGACUGACAUGCGGUUCAGAAUUGACAUGCCUGAAUUAUAUGGAGUAUCACUCUGUCUGCCAGGCUGGAAUGGAAUGCAGUGGCAUGAUCUCAGCUCACUGCGACCUCCAUCUCCCGGAUUCAAGAGAUUCUCCUGCCUCAGCCUCCCGAGAAGCUGGGAUUACAGGUGCCUGCCGCCACACCCGGCUAAUAUUUUGUAUUUUUAGUAAAGACGGGGUUUCACAAUAUUGGCCAGGCUGGUCUUGAACUCCUGGCCUCAAGUGAUUCGCCCGCCUCGACCUCCCAAAGUACUGGGAUUACAGGCCUGAGCCACCGCACCUGGCCUGCAAAUAGUACUCCUAUGAACAUCCUCAUACAUGCUCGUGGUGAAGAUGUGUUUGCAUUUCUGUUAGACAUAUACCUAACAGUGGAACUCUUCUCUCACAGGAUCUGCAUAUUUGAAUUUAGCAGAUACUUGUAGUUUUCCAACGUCUUUGCCAACUUAGGAGACCCACCAGCAAUGCAAGGAGAAAUACGAUUAAUCCAACCAACAUGAUUUUUUUCUUGUCUUUUUCAUUUUAAUCAUUCUGGUGGGUAUGUAGAAGUAUUGUAUUGUGGUUUUACUUUCGUAUUUCCCUGAUGCCUGAUGAAGUUGAGCACCUUUUCAUAUGUUUAUUCACCAUUUGGAUAUCUUCUUCUGUAAGGGGCUGUUCAAGUCUUUUGCUCUUUUCUUCUAUUGUUUUUUCUUGCCUUUUUAUUGAUUACUAGGAUUAAUGUAUACAUAUAUGUAUAUGAAGAUAUAUAAAAUACAUAAAAUCUAUUUAUCUAUUCUGCACAUGAAUUCCUUGUUUUGCAAAUUUGUAACUCCACUCUGUGGCUUGUCUUUUCCCUCCCAUAAUAGUAUCUUUUCCUAGAACAAACGUUUGUAUUAUUAAUGUGGUCCAGUAUAUCAAAAUUUUUUGAUUUAUGACUAGUACUUUUUGUGUUACACUUAAGAUAUCGUGAAGACAUCCUUCUAAAUCAUGAAGACAUUUUUCUAAAAGCUUUAUUGUUAUACCAUUCAUAUUUUC
rnacentral:lncRNA from 10 species